AUUGAACGCUGGCGGCAGGCCUAACACAUGCAAGUCGAACGGUAACAGGAAGCAGCUUGCUGCUUUGCUGACGAGUGGCGGACGGGUGAGUAAUGUCUGGGAAACUGCCUGAUGGAGGGGGAUAACUACUGGAAACGGUAGCUAAUACCGCAUAACGUCGCAAGACCAAAGAGGGGGACCUUAGGGCCUCUUGCCAUCGGAUGUGCCCAGAUGGGAUUAGCUAGUAGGUGGGGUAACGGCUCACCUAGGCGACGAUCCCUAGCUGGUCUGAGAGGAUGACCAGCCACACUGGAACUGAGACACGGUCCAGACUCCUACGGGAGGCAGCAGUGGGGAAUAUUGCACAAUGGGCGCAAGCCUGAUGCAGCCAUGCCGCGUGUAUGAAGAAGGCCCUCGGGUUGUAAAGUACUUUCAGCGGGGAGGAAGGGAGUAAAGUUAAUACCUUGGCUCAUUGACGUUACCCGCAGAAGAAGCACCGGCUAACUCCGUG
rnacentral:rRNA from 1 species